rnacentral:rRNA from 1 species
UGAGGAAUUUUCUGCAAUGGGCGCAAGCCUGACAGAGCAAUACCGCGUGAGGGAUGAAUGCCUACGGGUUGUAAACCUCUUUUCUCAAGGAGGAAGAUAUGACGUUACUUGAGGAAUAAGCAUCGGCUAACUCUGUGCCAGCAGCCGCGGUAAUACAGGGGAUGCAAGUGUUAUCCGGAAUUAUUGGGCGUAAAGCGUCUGCAGGUUGAUCUAUAAGUCUUUUGUUAAAUCUUUAGGCUUAACCUAAAAACAGCAAAAGAAACUAUUUAUCUUGAGUAUGGUAGAGGUAAGGGGAAUUUCGAGUGGAGCGGUGAAAUGCGUAGAUAUUCGAAAGAACACCAAUAGCGAAGGCACCUUACUGGGCCAUUACUGACACUCAGAGACGAAAGCUAGGGUAGCAAACGGG